rnacentral:rRNA from 1 species
ACGGGAGGCAGCAGUGGGGAAUAUUGGGCAAUGGGCGAAAGCCUGACCCAGCGACGCCGCGUGAAGGAAGAAGAUCUUCGGAUUGUAAACUUUAGUCAACAGGGACGAAGCGAGUGACGGUACCUGUGGAGGAAGCCACGGCUAACUACGUGCCAGCAGCCGCGGUAAUACGUAGGUGGCGAGCGUUAUCCGGAUUUAUUGGGUUUAAAGGGUGCGCAGGCGGGCUGUUAAGUCUCCGGUGAAAUGUCAGGGCUCAACCUUGGAAUUGCCGGAGAUACUGGCGGCCUUGAGAGUGGCGGAGGUAUCCGGAAUGUGUGGUGUAGCGGUGAAAUGCAUAGAUAUCACACAGAACACCGAUUGCGAAGGCAGGAUACCAUACCAUAUCUGACGCUCAGGCACGAAAGCGUGGGGAUCGAACAGGAUUAGAUACCCUGGUA